AUCGGAAACUAAACNGGAUUCCCUUAGUWAUGGCGAAUGAACAGGGAUGCGCUCGGACUGGGAAUCGUGGCCUUCGGCUUUGACUUGUAGUCUGUAGUUGCAAAGCUAACAGAGGCGCAGGCGAAAAUCUGUUGGAAUAUUGGGCAUAGAGGGUGAGAGUCCCGUCCGCCAUGCGCAGUCCUCCGUGUACAGCUUGUGCCAAAGAGUCGCGCUCCUCGGGAGUGGAGUGCAAAGCGGGUGGUAAAUUUCAUCCGAAGCUAAAUACAUGUUCGAGAUCGACAGUGGACAAGUACCAUGAGGGAAAGGUGAAAAGGACUUUGAAAAGAGAGCUAAAAGGACAUGAAUUCGCUGAAAGGGAAGCGAAUGGGACUAGACGCGUUGGGCGAGAUUGCAGCCAUGUUUGCGAGGCCCUGCCGUUUUGGUACAAACACUGCGGCGGGUUGCGAGCAAUGAUUCGUUGUGUCUCUCGUUCAGCAUGCGACCCGUAGCGCAUCUUUGAAGACAACGUUUGUGUGCGGAAUCCUUCCCUGGCGGGUGUGCACGCUGGUACGAAAUCCAUCGAUGCGCUGCUUGGUUGCGACUUAGUUUCCUUCNACCCGUCUUGAAACACGGACCAAGGA
rnacentral:rRNA from 1 species